rnacentral:misc_RNA from 1 species
CAUUAAAAUUUAUGACUUAUUCUAAAGUAAGAGGUAUUUUAAAUUAAAAAAAUUUUGAUAAUCUUUUAGAGGUUAUUUCAUUUGUAAACUGUAACCGUUGAAGCUCGUAAACAACAUAUAUUUCUUUGAAUAUGGUUCACUCAUUCCCACUGAAGUUAUAUGCAUGCAUGAGGUAUGUUGAAACAUGUUGUUAACAAAAAGGAAAAGGGACCAAAGUGAAACUCAAGAAAAGGAAGAACCAAGUAAAAUUAGUCCAUCCAUUGUUUUACCCAUACGUCAAACUGCAUCUAUCUUCAAACAGUCUGUGACAAUAAUUAAGAAUCAAGAGUCAAAAAUUCGUACAGAUAUUACUCAUGGCACUCAAGAAAAACCAAAACAAGUUUUCUGGGAGAAAAGACUGCAAGGAAUUAAUGCCUGUGAUAAAAAAGGAGAAGUCAUUGAAACUUUUGAACUUCCUUCAAAAAUCAAAGCUGUUGGAUUACAACUAGGAGAUGAAACUAUACUGAGGAGUAUUGUAACAGCAUUACACAUAAAUGGUCACCCAAUUACAGGACAGAACAAGCCAAAAGCACUACUAGACAAGAGUCCUGGAGUUUAUAUUAAUCCUACACAGCCUUUAGUAUUGGGUCUCCACGUUACAGAUGAAGAUAUCGAAUUGCAAGAAAAAAAAGUUUUGGAAGCUAGAGAACGCUUAAAAGAAGCUCUUAAUGAAUGAACGAUGCAUCAUGGAAUGCUGCACUAUUUUCAUUAAGUUUAUAAGGAAACCUGAAGAAAUUUGGUUGAACCUUCAAACUUUAAUUUGGUGAUUUAGGAAGGUUCUGCUACAAUGCUGAUAUGCAGAUGGCUUGAAUGAAGAACUCAUAUCACAUACAUGCAGAUUGCAUAAUUAAAGCACUCUGUAAAUAUUUUCAUAUGCAGUUGACAAGUACAAAUAACUUUUUUAUGAUCAUUUACAUUCAAUGAUUAAAAUAUGUAUUGUUUGAAAGUGAUGUCGAAUAUUAAAACUAGUAAUAGAAAAUAUUUGUAUAAAAAUUUUCCUACAACAACCAGUAUCUUCCAGUUCCCAUGCUUAUCUUGAAGGGGCAGUUGUUGUAUACAUUAAGAUUUUCAUUAAGUUUAUUUGAGAAAGUUAUGUAAAUUUUGGGGACAACAAUCAUCUAAAAUAGUGUGAUUUUAUGUACCUCAAAUAAUAGGAAAACCUGGAUGAAGCCAAUGACCAGAGCCAUUUUUAAUAAAACAGUCAAUGUUUUAUAUGGUACAAUUACACUUUUAAGUUUCUUUUAUACUUUAUUGAAUUCAAUACUAUAUAAAAACAAAGCAUCUUUACUGUAGUACAGUAGUUAUUAUGCUAAUUAACUUUUGUAGUACAUGAGUUAUUUUACUACUACUCAUAUGAUAGUUCUAAGGAUAAAAUUCAUGUAUAUUAUUGUUCUUACAUUUUAAUAUGAAUAGUCAGUUUCAUAUUGAAAUUUAAAAUAAAAUGAAUAAAGGAAACAAAAAUUAA